rnacentral:rRNA from 1 species
UCAUGGCUCAGAUUGAACGCUGGCGGCAGGCCUAACACAUGCAAGUCGAACGGUAACAGGAAGCAGCUUGCUGCUUUGCUGACGAGUGGCGGACGGGUGAGUAAUGUCUGGGAAACUGCCUGAUGGAGGGGGAUAACUACUGGAAACGGUGGCUAAUACCGCAUAACGUCGCAAGACCAAAGAGGGGGACCUUCGGGCCUCUUGCCAUCAGAUGUGCCCAGAUGGGAUUAGCUUGUUGGUGAGGUAACGGCUCACCAAGGCGACGAUCCCUAGCUGGUCUGAGAGGAUGACCAGCCACACUGGAACUGAGACACGGUCCAGACUCCUACGGGAGGCAGCAGUGGGGAAUAUUGCACAAUGGGCGCAAGCCUGAUGCAGCCAUGCCGCGUGUAUGAAGAAGGCCUUCGGGUUGUAAAGUACUUUCAGCGGGGAGGAAGGUGUUGUGGUUAAUAACCGCAGCAAUUGACGUUACCCGCAGAAGAAGCACCGGCUAACUCCGUGCCAGCAGCCGCGGUAAUACGGAGGGUGCAAGCGUUAAUCGGAAUUACUGGGCGUAAAGCGCACGCAGGCGGUCUGUCAAGUCGGAUGUGAAAUCCCCGGGCUCAACCUGGGAACUGCAUUCGAAACUGGCAGGCUUGAGUCUUGUAGAGGGGGGUAGAAUUCCAGGUGUAGCGGUGAAAUGCGUAGAGAUCUGGAGGAAUACCGGUGGCGAAGGCGGCCCCCUGGACAAAGACUGACGCUCAGGUGCGAAAGCGUGGGGAGCAAACAGGAUUAGAUACCCUGGUAGUCCACGCCGUAAACGAUGUCUACUUGGAGGUUGUGCCCUUGAGGCGUGGCUUCCGGAGCUAACGCGUUAAGUAGACCGCCUGGGGAGUACGGCCGCAAGGUUAAAACUCAAAUGAAUUGACGGGGGCCCGCACAAGCGGUGGAGCAUGUGGUUUAAUUCGAUGCAACGCGAAGAACCUUACCUGGUCUUGACAUCCACAGAAGAAUCCAGAGAUGGAUUUGUGCCUUCGGGAACUGUGAGACAGGUGCUGCAUGGCUGUCGUCAGCUCGUGUUGUGAAAUGUUGGGUUAAGUCCCGCAACGAGCGCAACCCUUAUCCUUUGUUGCCAGCGGUUAGGCCGGGAACUCAAAGGAGACUGCCAGUGAUAAACUGGAGGAAGGUGGGGAUGACGUCAAGUCAUCAUGGCCCUUACGACCAGGGCUACACACGUGCUACAAUGGCGCAUACAAAGAGAAGCGACCUCGCGAGAGCAAGCGGACCUCAUAAAGUGCGUCGUAGUCCGGAUUGGAGUCUGCAACUCGACUCCAUGAAGUCGGAAUCGCUAGUAAUCGUGGAUCAGAAUGCCACGGUGAAUACGUUCCCGGGCCUUGUACACACCGCCCGUCACACCAUGGGAGUGGGUUGCAAAAGAAGUAGGUAGCUUAACCUUCGGGAGGGCGCUUACCACUUUGUGAUUCAUGACUGGGGUGAAGUCGUAACAAGGUAACCGUAGGGGAACCUGCGGUUGGAUCACCUCCUUACCUUAAAGAA